rnacentral:rRNA from 1 species
ACACGGUCCAAACUCCUACGGGAGGCAGCAGUGAGGAAUAUUGGUCAAUGGCCGGAAGGCUGACCCAGCCAAGUCGCGUGAGGGAAUAAGGCCCUACGGGUCGUAAACCUCUUCUGCCAGGGAGCAAUGCCGUCCACGUGUGGACGGAAGGAGAGUACCUGGAGAAAAAGCAUCGGCUAACUCCGUGCCAGCAGCCGCGGUAAUACGGAGGAUGCGAGCGUUAUCCGGAUUUAUUGGGUUUAAAGGGUGCGUAGGCGGCCUGCCAAGUCAGCGGUAAAAUUGCGGGGCUCAACCCCGUACAGCCGUUGAAACUGCCGGGCUCGAGUGGGCGAGAAGUAUGCGGAAUGCGUGGUGUAGCGGUGAAAUGCAUAGAUAUCACGCAGAACCCCGAUUGCGAAGGCAGCAUACCGGCCCCCGACUGACGCUGAGGCACGAAAGUGCGGGGAUCAAA